GCAUUAGCGAACAAGCAUACACUAAAAUUGGGACACUACAGACAAGAUUAGCAUGGCCCAUGUAUAAGGGUGACAUGUACCUCUGUGAUGUGUUCCAUACAUAU